ensembl:lncRNA
CAGCAGCUGAGGGAUCCGAGCCAUCUAAGUCAUCAAAUUUAGUGCCCCAUUGCUUCAAAGAUAGACGCGGAUCUAAAUGAGUGAGUAUUUAUUUUAAACAUCGAGCAACACUUUGGGAUCUAACUUGCUGCUCACCGAUAAUUCUGCCAAUGUUCCACGAGCAGGAGUCACCCGGCUGGAGCUCGGCUGCAAGAACCUGAACGUAUCUCCAAUAAGUGAGUCUUGUUACAAUAAAACAUGGGCGCAGAGGAGAGCCUGCCGGUUUUCUCUAGAGCCAGACUGCUCCUGCAGCCGCUGGACGAGCUGAAACGACUCACCCAUCAACAAGCGGCGCUGCUCCAGAACAAGAUUAGGGCAGAGAAAGAAGAAUGGAAUGAUCUUGGCAUCAUUGCAGUCUCUGGUAGUCCUGAAGAAGUAUUUCAUCUCGACAGAGCUCCACAAAAAUGCAUAGUACAGAAAAGAAAUACAAAUCAGAAAAUGUAACAGGAUUGUAACGUCAGAACUUGUUCUCUACUACACUCACAAACUCUCACUCACUCAAUAUGUUUAAUUGAAAUACUCAAGAGUGACACCAAAACACUACUGCAUCAUGUUGUACAUGCAUUCAUGACAAUUCCAUUCGUGAACACAUGACAUUUGAAAAAUAACAGUGCCAUUCAUAAUGCAGUCAUUAUUGUUGUCUUUUACACAGCGGUGUCUGUGAUUACCCACAAUGCCAUUGGAAAACAGGCAGCAAGAAAACACAAAGAAAAAUAUGUGUUAAGUGUGUAAAAAAGGGUUUGGAUAUUUUUAGGGCUCCGAGGUAUAUUUUUAUUCUAUUUAUUCUAUUAAAUGGCAACUUACAUUUGAAACAACAGCGGGUGACCUUAUACAGUAUAUCUGGCCUGCGGCUGCUGGAGCUGGAGACUGCUGCCGCAUUGUUUUAAACACAAUAUGUGUAUUGUUCGAUAAAGCAUCUAUAUAGUUAUAUGAUAGAAAGGUUCAAUGAGGCAUAGGAAUAGAACAUACAUUUAGUGUGUAGUUUAUUUCACUGCUCCACUGAGCUCCGGCUGCUAAUCUAAUCAUGUGUUUACAUGAUUCUUGCACGUUUUGGGGCUGAACCACGUGGUUGAUGUAUACUUGGUCACUUUGGAUCAAUACUCAGCUCAAUAAACGUAAAAUAAGAUUUAAGAAUUUAUUUAUUUUUUCUAGCAAAAUAUCUUUGUUUUACUUGAGUACAAGUUAAAAUGUAGUUGCCAAAGAGGACACUAUGUUGAAUAUUUAUAAUAUUAGGCUCAGGAAAACAACAAUGGUUUUGUUAUGGCACCAUCAUAAAUGUCUGCAAUAAAGAGAGAGGCCGUGACAUCCUUAAAUCCAUCUCUCACUCAGCGAUGGAUCCCACGUCUGUCCAUCAGUCCAUUUGACUCAAUCAAUCCUGACAGUCGGCCUCUUCGUUCCUUUCCUCUCAUCUCUCUCGUUGUUUAUUUAUUUCUCCUAAGCCGUCCGUAUCCAUCGCAUUCGUUACGCCGCUGUUAUGCGGUGCUGCCUCACUCCAAUAAAAAUAACAUAAAUAAAUCAUGAACAAGCCCAA